CACGCAAACGUAAAAGUCCGUCACUGAGUGAUGAAGUUACACGAUUGGUCGGCCGAGUGUCGGAGCUUCCUCAUUGGCCGUUGCUCUUUCACAAUGAAAAUGAGGGGAGCAGUCCAGUAUGUAAAUGACCGCAUGUUUCUACAUUUAGAAAUCUUUUGGGUCAAAAUGUUUUGUGUGUUUAUUUAGGAACAUUUUAUAAAAGAAAAUAGGGCUGUCAAUGUUAACGUGAAAUCGUUUUAACACCACUAAUUUAAGGCAUUAACGCACUCGAUCUUCUAGAGGUUGUAGCAGCUCAGUUUUAAAUUGUAUUAAAGCUAGAGUGAAGAUACUACUGUCAUAUGAAACAGGCUGGAAUAUGUAAAAGAAAAGUCUGAAAGAUGUCAGAAGAAAGGUCGAUAUGCGUCUGAAUAAAAGUCUGAAAGAUGUCAGAAGAAAGGUAAAAAAAAGCUGAAAUAUGUUUGAAAAAAAAAAAA